rnacentral:rRNA from 1 species
AGUUUGAUCAUGGCUCAGAUUGAACGCUGGCGGCAGGCCUAACACAUGCAAGUCGAGCGGAAGGUUCUUCGGAACCGAGAGCGGCGGACGGGUGAGGAAAGCGUGGGAAUCUGCCUGUAGAUGGGGGAUAGCCCGGAGAAAUCCGGAUUAAUACCGCAUAAUACCUGAGGGUUAAAGUGGAGGAUCGCAAGACUUCACGUCUACAGAUGAGCCCACGUCAGAUUAGCUAGUUGGUAGGGUAAAGGCCUACCAAGGCGACGAUCUGUAGCUGGCCUGAGAGGGUGGCCAGCCACACUGGAACUGAGACACGGUCCAGACUCCUACGGGAGGCAGCAGUGGGGAAUAUUGGACAAUGGGCGCAAGCCUGAUCCAGCCAUGCCGCGUGUGUGAAGAAGGCCUUCGGGUUGUAAAGCUCUUUCAGCAGGAACGAAACGGUGGUCCCUAAUACGGACUACUAAUGACGGUACCUGAAGAAGAAGCACCGGCUAACUACGUG